UGGGGAAUAUUGCACAAUGGGGGAAACCCUGAUGCAGCGACGCCGCGUGAACGAAGAAGGUAUUUGUAUCGUAAAGUUCUGUCCUAUGGGAAGAUAAUGACAGUACUAUAGAAGAAAGCUCCGGCUAAAUACGUGCCAGCAGCCGCGGUAAUACGUAUGGAGCGAGCGCUGUCCGGAAUUAUUGGGCGAAAAGGGUACGCAGGCGGUUUAAUAAGUCGAAUGUUCAAGAUCGGGGCUCAACCCCGCAAAGCAUUGGAAACUGAUAAUCUUGAGUAGUGGAGCGGAAAGUGGAAUUCCUAGUGUAGUGGUGAAAUACGUAGAUAUUAGGAGGAAUACCAGUAGCGAAGGCGACUUUCUGGACACAAACUGACGCUGAGGUACGAAAGCGUGGGGAGCAAACAGG
rnacentral:rRNA from 1 species